rnacentral:rRNA from 1 species
UACGUAGGGGGCAAGCGUUGUCCGGAAUUAUUGGGCGUAAAGAGCGUGUAGGCGGCCAUACAGGUCAGCUGUGAAAACUCGAGGCUCAACCUCGAGACGUCGGUUGAAACCGUAUGGCUAGAGUCCGGAAGAGGAGAGUGGAAUUCCCGGUGUAGCGGUGAAAUGCGCAGAUAUCGGGAAGAACACCCGUGGCGAAGGCGGCUCUCUGGGACGGUACUGACGCUGAGACGCGAAAGCGUGGGGAGCCGAACAGG